GUCUACAAUUAUACCACCCUGAAUGUGCCCUAAUCUCAGAAGCUAAAUAGGGAUGGACCUGGUUAGUACUAAUAUGGGAAAAAUGGAUUAAAAAAUGGAGGGCAAGAUAUGACA
rnacentral:rRNA from 1 species